rnacentral:rRNA from 1 species
UCACGAAACAGUAUGAGCUAUUUUCCUUUACGUAUGGCGUAACAUGGCACUGUAGCAUAAUUGGCAGGAAAAAGGAAUAUAGGGGUGAAAGGCCUUGCAAGUACUUUGAUAUCUUGAUACUGUUGAAAUGUAUAUAGUACGACAACAAACUUUGAGUUCUAAGGCUGAAAGUAGGUAUUAAAAAUUUUAAUUGCGCGGAGGGUUUAAACGUCUUUCAAUUGCUAGCUAAUUAUUAAAUUACUGUAUUUAUUUAACUUAAACGGUUGCAGUUAAAUUACCCUUACUGUUAACAAUGUAAAAAUAAGUAGAUAAUUAGGCUUAUCUAACGAACUCGGCAACAAUUUCUUCAACUGUUUAUCAAAAACAUAACCAUUUGGUGAAAUAAAUGGCUACUCCUGCCCUAUAGCAGUUUAAAUGGCCGCGGUACCUUGACCGUGCAAAGGUAGCAUAAUAAUUUGGCUCUUAAUUAGGGUCUGGUAUGAAUGGAAAACUGGAGAGGUGCUUUUUCAGGUAAAUAGUUUGAAAUUACUCAGUAGAUGAAAAUAUCUAUAAUGAAUUAAUAGACGAGAAGACCCUUGAAAUUUUGAUUACAGGAAUUUAACAUUUUUGUUGGGGCGACAGGGUAGCAAUAAUAAACCUACCUGUAAGAUUUGUUACCUAUUUGUAGUGCAAUUAAAUUACUCUAGGGAUAACAGCAUAAUGAAAUUCGUUUGUGACCUCGAUGUUGGACUAGGAAAACUAAACCCAAAAGGUGACUGUUAUUGCUCUGUUCGAGCAUUUACUCCUACAUGAUC